GAUGAACGCUGGCGGCGUGCCUAAUACAUGCAAGUCGAGCGAACGGACGAGAAGCUUGCUUCUCUGAUGUUAGCGGCGGACGGGUGAGUAACACGUGGAUAACCUACCUAUAAGACUGGGAUAACUUCGGGAAACCGGAGCUAAUACCGGAUAAUAUUUUGAACCGCAUGGUUCAAAAGUGAAAGACGGUCUUGCUGUCACUUAUAGAUGGAUCCGCGCUGCAUUAGCUAGUUGGUAAGGUAACGGCUUACCAAGGCAACGAUGCGUAGCCGACCUGAGAGGGUGAUCGGCGACACUGGAAGUGAGACACGGUCCAGACUCCUGAGGGAGGCAGCAGUAGGGAAUCGGACGCAAUGGGCGAGAGCCUGACGGAGCAAGGCCGCGUGAGAGAUGAAGGUCUUCGGAUCGUAAAACUCUGUUAUUAGGGAAGAACAUAUGUGUAAGUAACUGUGCACAUCUUGACGGUACCUAAUCAGAAAGCCACGGCUAACUACGUG
rnacentral:rRNA from 1 species